AGGACGAACGCUGGCGGCGUGCUUAACACAUGCAAGUCGAGCGGAAAGGCCCUUCGGGGUACUCGAGCGGCGAACGGGUGAGUAACACGUGAGUAACCUGCCCUAGGCUUUGGGAUAACCCUCGGAAACGGGGGCUAAUACUGGAUAUUCCUGCGGGAUCGCAUGGUUUUGUGGGGAAAGGUUUUUCCGGCUUGGGAUGGGCUCGCGGCCUAUCAGCUUGUUGGUGGGGUGAUGGCCUACCAAGGCGACGACGGGU
rnacentral:rRNA from 1 species